rnacentral:rRNA from 1 species
UACGGGGGAGCAAGCGUUGUUCGGAUUUACUGGGCGUAAAGGGCGCGUAGGCGGCCACCGCAAGUCGGUUGUGAAAUCUCUGGGCUUAACCCAGAAAGGUCAACCGAUACUGCGGGGCUAGAGUGCAGAAGGGCAACUGGAAUUCUCGGUGUAGCGGUGAAAUGCGUAGAUAUCGAGAGGAACACCUGCGGCGAAGGCGGGUUGCUGGGCUGACACUGACGCUGAAGCGCGAAAGCUAGGGGAGCGAACGGG